GACCGUUGACGGGAAGAGGAAGUUAGGAGCUGAGAGCCUGGCAACCAGCUUUCACGAGGCAAAAGGUGUUUCUGCAAGACCGUACCUAAGGAAAGGGCCAGUGGGAUUACUUAAAUGUUGAUUUUCAAGUGGCUUAACAAAAUCGAUUGCUUGAAGCUUCUAUGGGAAGGGAGUCUCAACUGAGUGAUAGCCCAUAUCAUACUGGCCUGUCGGGGAUCAUCUUGAUUGUUAAUCGAUGUAGGAGGGUCCAGUCCACUGUGGGCGGCACCAUCCUCUGUGCAGGUGGUUCUGAGCUGUAGAAGAAAUCUAGCUUAUGGUAUGGAUGGACCUGAAAGUGAGCCAGGAAGCAGCAUUCCUCCACGGUUUCUGCCCAGUGAUACCCUGUAGUCAACAACCCUCUUCCUUCCCUGGGUUGCUUUUGGCCACAGUGUUUUGUCAUAGAAACAAAGGAAAUUAAAGCACCGCGUACAUGUAAAGA